UACCGCCCUAGUUCUGACCGUAAACUAUGCCAUCUAGCGAUCCGAUGGGGUAUUGUUGCCUUGUCGAGGAGCUUCCCGGAAACGAAAGUCUUUCGGUUCCUGGGGUAGUAUGGUUGCAAAGCUGAAACUUAAAGAAAUUGACGGAAUGGCACCACCAGGAGUGGAGCCUGCGGCUUAAUUUGACUCAACACGGGAAAACUCACCCGGCCCGGACACCGUAAGGAUUGACAGAUUGAAAGCUCUUUCUCGAUUUGGUGGUUGGUGGUGCAUGGCCGUUCUUAGUUGGUGGAGCGAUUUGUCUGGUUUAUUCCGAUAACGAGCGAGACUCUAGCCUGCUAAAUAGUGGCUGGAUUUUCACGUCCAGUCUACUUCUUAGAGGGAUAAGCGGUGUUUAGCCGCACGAGAUUGAGCGAUAACAGGUCUGUGAUGCCCUUAGAUGUCCGGGGCUGCACGCGCGCUACAAUGGAAGAAUCAGCUGGCCUAUCCAUUGCCGAAAGGCAUUGGUAAACCGUUGAAACUCUUCCGUGACCGGGAUAGGGAAUUGUAAUUAUUUCCCUUGAACGAGGAAUUCCUAGUAAGUGUGAGUCAUCAGCUCACGCUGAUUACGUCC
rnacentral:rRNA from 1 species